rnacentral:rRNA from 1 species
UACGUAGGGACCGAGCGUUGUCCGGAAUCAUUGGGCGUAAAGAGCGUGUAGGCGGCUUGCUAAGUCUUGCGUGAAAUCUCGGGGCUCAACCCCGAGCGGUCGUGGGAAACUGGCAGGCUAGAGUGCGGGAGAGGAGAAUGGAAUUCCUGGUGUAGCGGUGAAAUGCGUAGAUAUCUAGAGGAACGCCUGAGGCGAAAGCGGGGCACUGGGCCGAUUCUGACGCUGAUACGCGAAAGCGUGGGGAGCAAACAGG